rfam:Gloeocapsa sp. PCC 73106 scaffold_00186, whole genome shotgun sequence.
AACAUGGAGAGUUUGAUCCUGGCUCAGGAUGAACGCUGGCGGUAUGCCUAACACAUGCAAGUCGAACGGUCUUGAAAGAGAUAGUGGCGGACGGGUGAGUAACGCGUGAGAACCUGCCUUCAGGAUGGGGACAACAGCCGGAAACAGCUGCUAAAACCCAAUGUGCCGCAAGGUGAAAAAUUUAUUGCCUGAAGAGGGGCUCGCGUCUGAUUAGCUAGUUGGAGAGGUAAA